AUUGAACGCUGGCGGCAGGCUUAACACAUGCAAGUCGAGCGGGGUGAUGGUGCUUGCACUAUCACUUAGCGGCGGACGGGUGAGUAAUGCUUAGGAAUCUGCCUAUUAGUGGGGGACAACAGCUCGAAAGGGAUGCUAAUACCGCAUACGUCCUACGGGAGAAAGCAGGGGAUCACUUGUGACCUUGCGCUAAUAGAUGAGCCUAAGUCGGAUUAGCUAGUUGGUGGGGUAAAGGCCUACCAAGGCGACGGUCUGUAGCGGGUCUGAGAGGAUGAUCCGCCACACUGGGACCGAGACACGGCCCAGAAUCCUACGGGAGGCAGCAGUGGGGAAUAUUGGACAAUGGGGGGAACCCUGAUCCAGCCAUGCCGCGUGUGUGAAGAAGGCCUUAUGGUUGUAAAGCACUUUAAGCGAGGAGGAGGCUCUUUUGGUUAAUACCCAAGAUGAGUGGACGUUACUCACAGAAUAAGCACCGGCUAACUCUGUGCCAGCCGCCGCCGUAA
rnacentral:rRNA from 1 species